UCUCUCUCUCGUGUUCUCCUCUAUCUCGCCCAAAUCACUCUCCCUCUGAUAGCUUCUCUCAUCCUUAUCACGCUCAUUUUCUCUUACAUUUAGAUUGUAGUUAGUGUAGAGCGCAACAAACGUGGCAGUUGCAAUGGUGAAUCAGAGAAAGGCGUGGUCGAUUUGACGAGUCAGGUACAACUGAUGGAGAAGGAAGAUGCGGAGAGGUCCGAGAGGGAGAGGAAGGAGUUCGAGGAGAGGGAGAAGGCCUGGCUCGAAGCCAUGGAGAUGAAAAGGAAGAAGAUGGAAGAAGAAGAAGAAGAAUAUGAGGAACAACGAAAGAAGGCACUGGACGAAGAGUCUCAGAAACAGCAGAGAUGGCCCAAGUUCAGGUUCAGCCUCAGAAUGCGGCUCCCGGAGCUAACGCUGAUGCGGCCAAUGGUGGGAACAACCAAUUCGUGACCACGUCACUGUAUUUUGGAGAUCUUGACCAAAGUGUCACGAAUCCACGGCUCUAUGACCUGUUUAACCAGAUGGGUCAGGUGGUUUCAGUUAGGGUUUGCAGGGACUUGACUAGCCGAAGAUCACUUGGUUAUGGAUGUGUCAAUUAUAGCAACCCCCAAGAUGCUGCGAGGGCUUUGGAAAUGCUGAACUUUUCUCUUUUAAAUGGAAGACCAAUUAGGGUUAUGUACUCUCACCGUGAUCCUAGCAUUCACAAAAGUGGGGCUGGCAAUAUUUUUAUUAAGGCACGAUAUAAGGUCCAGCCUGAUCCUACUGUGGAUGAAGUGAAGAAACUUUGUAAUACAUGUCACCGAUAUGCCAAGUUUAAGAGGGUCCUAUUUCAUUAUAAUGGCCAUGGUGUGCCUAAGCCGACUUCUAGUGGUGAAAUUUGGGUUUUCAAUAAGAGUUAUACACAGUAUAUCCCUUUGCCAAUCAGUAACCUUGAUUCCUGAUUGAAGGCACCCUCUAUAUAUGUUUUUGAUUGCUCUGCGGCUGGUAAUAUUGUGAGUUCUUUUAUUGAGCUCCUCUAGAUCCACAAGGGAUUGCAUUCUACUUGGAGCUUGUGAAGCACAUGAGACUCAUCCACAAAGUGCUAAAUUUUCUGCAGAUGUGCUUACGUCUUGUCUCACAACACCUAUUAAGAUGGCUUUGAGAUGUGUCAAUUACUCAAUAUCAGUUACUGCCCACCAACAGAGGAAGACAUUCCAGAAGGGAAAAGUUUGGUAAAAUUUUGAGAUUUCCUUACCCUUCAAUGGAUACUAAGGUGAAAUUUUUAAUGUUUCAUUGUCUUAAUUACUAAUACUAUUUCAAGUUGUAGUGGCAUAUAAUCCUCUUGGUUGGCCCCGUACCGACAUUGUUAAAAUACUGGUUAAUGAUGUCAAUCUCGUUGUUAAAGAUUCUUCAGGCAAUACAAUGAAGGCACAGUAUGUAAGUUUAGACAAUGUUACAAAGAACUUGAGAAAGUUCUAUGCACAAGCUUACUUGGGACAAUCACCAAAACAAGCUCCAAAGUAUU